rnacentral:rRNA from 1 species
UACGGAGGGUGCAAACGUUGCUCGGAAUUAUUGGGCGUAAAGCGCACGUAGGCGGACCAUCAAGUCGGAUGUGAAAUCCCUCGGCUUAACCGAGGACGUGCAUUCGAUACUGACGGCCUUGAGUUCGACAGAGGAUCGCGGAAUUCCCGGUGUAGAGGUGAAAUUCGUAGAUAUCGGGAGGAACACCAGUGGCGAAGGCGGCGAUCUGGGUCGAUACUGACGCUGAUGAGCGAAAGCCAGGGGAGCAAACGGGG